CACUCCUGCGGGAGGCAGCAGUGGGGAAUUUUACGCAAUGGGGGAAACCCUGACGUAGCGACACCGCGUGAGCGAAGAAGCCCUUUGGGGUGUAAAGCUCUGUCAGCUGGAACGAAAACAAUGACGGUACCAGCAGAGGAAGCAUCGGCUAACUACGUGCCAGCAGCCGCGGUAAGACGUAGGAUGCGAGCGUUGUCCGGAUUUAUUGGGCGUAAAGAGUUCGUAGGUGGUUUGUUAAGUUUGGUGUUAAAGAUCGGGGCUCAACCCUGGGACUGCACUGAAUACUGGCAGACUCGAGUGUGGUAGAGGCUAGUGGAAUUCCCAGUGUAGCGGUGAAAUGCGUAGAUAUUGGGAAGAACACCGGUGGCGUAGGCGACUAGCUGGGCCAUAACUGACGCUGAGGAACGAAAGCCAGGGGAGCGAAUGGGAUUAGAUACCCCAGUGGUCCAA
rnacentral:rRNA from 1 species